rnacentral:rRNA from 1 species
UGGGGAAUUUUCCGCAAUGGGCGAAAGCCUGACGGAGUGACGCCGCGUGGGGGACGAAGGCCUUCGGGUCGUAAACCCCUGUCAGAGGGAAAGAAGCCUUCGGGCGUGAACAGCGCUCGGAGGUGACGGUACUCUCAGAGGAAGCCCCGGCCAACUCUGUGCCAGCAGCCGCGGUAAGACAGAGGGGGCAAGCGUUGCUCGGAAUCACUGGGCGUAAAGGGCGCGUAGGCGGGAUGGCAAGUCGGUCGUGAAAUCCCUCGGCUCAACCGAGGGGGGUCGGCCGAUACUGCCGUUCUUGAGGGAUGCAGAGGAGACUGGAAUUCCCGGUGUAGCGGUGAAAUGUGUAGAGAUCGGGAGGAACACCGGUGGCGAAGGCGGGUCUCUGGGCAUCUCCUGACGCUGAGGCGCGAAAGCGUGGGGAGCAAACGGGAUUAGAUACCCCGGUAGUCCACGCUGUAAACGAUGACGACUAGGUGUGGGGUGGUUCAGUCCAUUCCGUGCCGCAGCUAACGCU